rnacentral:rRNA from 1 species
CAGUCGGACGCGAAAGCUCCCUCGGGAGUGAGUAGAGUGGCGCACGGGUGAGUAACGCGUAGGUAAUCUCCCUCUGGAUUGGGGAUAACUCUGCGAAAGCGGAGCUAAUACCGAAUGGUCUGGCUUUAUUUCGAUGAAGUCGGUAAAGGAUGCCUCUGCAUAUGCAUCUGUCCAGAGAUGAGCCUGCGUCCCAUUAGCUAGUUGGUAGGGUAAAGGCCUACCAAGGCGACGAUGGGUAGCUGGUCUGAGAGGAUGAUCAGCCACACUGGAACUGGAACACGGUCCAGACUCCUACGGGAGGCAGCAGUGGGGAAUAUUGGGCAAUGGGCGCAAGCCUGACCCAGCAACGCCGUGUGAGGGAUGAAGGCCUUCGGGUCGUAAACCUCUGUCAGAAGGGAAGAACGGGCACAGUUCGAAUAGGGCUGUGUUUUGACGGUACCUUCAGAGGAAGCACCGGCUAACUCCGUGCCAGCAGCCGCGGUAAUACGGAGGGUGCGAGCGUUAUUCGGAAUCACUGGGCGUAAAGGGCGCGUAGGCGGCCUGGUAAGUCAGGGGUGAAAUCCCACGGCUCAACCGUGGAAUUGCCUUUGAAACUGCUGGGCUUGGAUCCUGGAGAGGGUGGCGGAAUUCCUGGUGUAGGAGUGAAAUCCGUAGAUAUCAGGAGGAACACCGGUGGCGAAGGCGGCCACCUGGACAGGUAUCGACGCUGAGGCGCGAAAGUGUGGGGAGCAAACAGGAUUAGAUACCCUGGUAGUCCACACCGUAAACGAUGGAUACUAG